GGGGGCUCUGAAAAUAUUUAGGAGCCGUAUUCAGAUUUAAUAUUUCACUGAUAUGAUCUAGUUUGCAGCAGUACAAAUACAUGCCAAUAUAUUUAAUACUUUUGUCUUUAUAAACCAUAAUUUGGUUACUUCUAGCUUUCAGUAGGGUAUGGUAGGGGGGCUUUGAAAAUUUUGGGAUUCUGAAAAGUGGGGCACCGAAAAAAAUGUUUACAAUGAAAGGGAGGCUCUUUGUAGGGUGUCUUGAGUAAAAAUGUCCCCCCCCCCUUCGGUGUAUUUAAUAAGCUAGAUUCUGAUAAUAAACCACGAAAUGUGCCGUGUUAGCGACGCGCUCUCCGUGUUUGAUUAGAAAACCGGUCAAGUUACGUUGCGUAAUCUGAGCUACUACCCCGGGGCACGAGCUGUCCCCGACGCAGCCGAAAUGUGCCCGACUAAUCAAGAUUCAAGCAAAUACUGUGAACAUAAAAGGGAAAAAUGUGUUAAAGUUCACGAUCACGGGAGCACUAGAAAAAUACUCCCUGAAACUGCGAUCACGAUCCAAAUUUUCUGGGGAGAAUUCCCUCGAGGGCCGAAAUAAGAUGCGCGGGGUGGCCCCGUGGAUUAUGACUGAAGGGGUAACUAGAACGACUACGGGCAAGCUGUAGAAAAACUAGAUGGUCUGCGUAGGCGUGGUGUAGACAAGGAAACCAUGCUUCGCAGAAAACCAAAAGGCGCCACGGGAGUGUAGCACAAGAAACAGAUAUAGAAAAACUUCAAUGGAUUGGCUUAACGAUAAAAAUAUACAUAUAAAUAUAGAUAUUAAAAUUUGAAUUCAA